rnacentral:lncRNA from 1 species
UUUUUUUAAGAGGUGAGGUUUCACAAUGUUGCCCAGGCUGGUCUCAAACAACUCCUGAGCUCAAGUGAUCCACCCACCUUGGCCUCCCAAAGUGCUGGGAUUAUAGAUGUGAGACACUGCCCUCAACCUAUCUUCUUUACCUACACAUUAUUGAACUUGGAAGAGUUCCUCACUCCACUGUAUGGAUGGUGAGCUUCCAACCCAGUGAUUUUAUUUAACUACCGGGUUCUUUGUCUUUUAUUUAUUUUAUUUUUUACUUAUUUAUUUAUUUAUUUGAAAUGGAGUCUCGCUCUGUUGCCCAGGCUAGAGUGUAGCGGCGCAAUCUCAGCUCACAGCAACCUCCGCCCCCUGGGUUCAAGCAAUUCUCCUGCCUCAGCCUCCCUAGCAGCUGGGAUUACAGGUGU